CUUUAAGGGUCCUGAAGGAACGUUGAAGACGACGACGUUGAUAGGCCGGGUGUGUAAGCGCAGUGAUGCGUUGAGCUAACCGGUACUAAUGAACCGUGAGGCUUAACCUUACAACGCCGAAGGUGUUU
rnacentral:rRNA from 1 species